GGACUACUAGGGUUUCUAAUCCCGUUCGCUACCCACGCUUUCGUGUUUCAGCGUCAGGAGCGCGCCAGUAAGGUGCCUUCGCAUUUGGUGUUCCCCAUGAUAUCAACGGAUUUCACCCCUACACCAUGAGUUCCCCUUACCUCUCGCGUCCUCGUAGCUGUGCCGUUUCUCCUGCAUUCUUUGGGUUGAGCCCGAAGACUUUAACAAAAGACUAACACUGCCGCCUACACACCCUUUACGCCCAGUGAUUCCGGAUAAUGCUCGGGGCCUCUGUAUUACCGCGGCUGCUGGCAC
rnacentral:rRNA from 1 species